GACGAACGCUGGCGGCGUGCUUAACACAUGCAAGUCGUACGGUAAGGCCCUUUCGGGGGUACACGAGUGGCGAACGGGUGAGUAACACGUGAGUAACCUGCCCACAACUUUGGGAUAACGCUAGGAAACUGGUGCUAAUACUGGAUAUGUGCUCCUGCUGCAUGGUGGGGGUUGGAAAGCUCCGGCGGUUGUGGAUGGACUCGCGGCCUAUCAGCUUGUUGGUGGGGUAGUGGCCUACCAAGGCGGCGACGGGUAGCCGGCCUGAGAGGGUGACCGGCCACAUUGGGACUGAGAUACGGCCCAGACUCCUACGGGAGGCAGCAGUGGGGAAUAUUACACAAUGGGCGCAAGCCUGAUGCAGCAACGCCGCGUGCGGGAUGACGGCCUUCGGGUUGUAAACCGCUUUCAGCAGGGACGAAGCUUUUUGUGACGGUACCUGCAGAAGAAGCACCGGCUAACUACGUG
rnacentral:rRNA from 1 species